AUGGACCCCAAGAAAGGCAAAAGCCCCAAGCUGUGCCCCACUGGGCAGAGAGGUCCUUCUCCUGUCAUCACUGAUGGACACUAAAAGAAAACAAUAAAAGGGUGACUUUAAGACUACCUGCAAGGAAAGAAGAAAAAUCUACCUAAGACUCAUGGCAACUUUGUAAUUUUUAUCAGAAUUCUAAAUAAUCAAGGUUCAUCCAUAAUCUGUAUUGGUAGUUUGCAUGUCAAAAUGUGGUACAGUAUUCGGGUGACUUCUUUUAUACAGUAAAUUAGGAGGAAGGCAUGACACAGCUUGUAGAGUGGUCCUCUGUCCUCUAAUGAAAGUAGAGCAAUUCAACAGAAAGUAAGGUGGGUCAUCUGGUCAUAGAAACAGAUCAGAUUGGUCAAACAGGAUUUGCCCUUCAUGAACCAGUGUUGGCUGGGCCUGGUCCCCUGGCUGUGCUGUACUUGCCAUGUGAGCACACUCAAGGUGAAUUGCUCCAUAAUCUUUCCCAAUACCAAGCUCAGGCUGACAGUCCUGUACUUCACUGACUCCUCCUUCUGGCCUUUUUUGUAGAUGGGCAUCACAUUGGCAAGCCUCCAGUCAUCCAGAACCUCCACAGUUAACCAGGACUGCUGAUAAAUGAUAGAGAGUGGUCUGGCAAGCUCCUCUGCCAGUUCCCUCAGUAACCUCAGAUGGACUUCAUCCAGCCCUUUCAAUAAGCCCUGCCAACACAUGCACAAGGAUCUUUUUUCCCCUUUGAGACACAUGUAUUCCAUUUCCUGCCAACAGAUCCAGCACUGCAUCACAGAAACCACAGAAACAUCCACGUUGGAAAAGACCUUCAGGAUCACCAAGUCCAACCUCUAACCCUACUCUGCAAGAUUUACCUUAAACCAUAUCCAUAAACACCACAUCCAAACGACCCUUAAACACAUCCCCUGGGCAGGUCAUUCCAGUGCCUGCCCACUCUCUCUUCUGAAGAGUUGGUACCUUUUGAUUGCAGCACUCCAGAUGUGGGAGUCAUCCCAUCAGGUUUCUGUGAUGGCUGCUAUAUCAUAGUUACCCUGUAGUACAAUGGCCUCCA